rnacentral:lncRNA from 1 species
CCUUCCUAAAUGCCCUCAGACUUGGACAACUCUUACAGAAGUACUAGUAGCCACAAUCACUCGAUCAGGCCUAUAUGAUUGCAUCACAGCUUUAUAUCCACUGGCUAAGCACAAAAGAUACAAGCGCUGUAGGGUUGCUACCGGACGUGAGUUAGGCACAACCCAGAACACUUUAGAGCAGCCAUUUGAUGACUUAGCAUGAAAAAUGUGUGCACUGGAGUGAAUACGAGACGAAUAAGGCAUAACCGAAAACUCGCCAGGGCACACCCUCCAAGAUCGAAAGACACUUACGCUGCCGACUUGCACCAGAAGUUAAUGAUCAAGGAACAAGGCAAAAUUUUUUGCAGCAGUGCUCGUUUUCUAUGGUCAUUUAUUGCUUUUGGAGCUACGAGAGAAUAAAACUUGCACUGAUUACAAAGUACUGGCAGUGCUACAAUGAAAAGUAACUGAUGUGAAAUCUGCUGAGGGACAAGUCCAUUUUCCUUUUUGUCCAUUGAGUUACAUGUGAUGCUGGGACACAGGCAUAGCCAGGAAGGAUGUUUCAGUCUGAAGCAACUUGAAAAAUUUUGAUAAUCCAUAUGAAAACAUGUUUCACAAGACAUGUUUCAAAAUAUAACACUCUAAUUAUGCAUUUUUCGUGAGACCAUGCAUACAUAAGUAAAUGCUUUGCAAGCAGAGCUGCAAGCAUGCAAUACAAAUACUAGUUUGUGUUACUUGCUGAACAGUGGAUUGUGGUAACAAGUACUGAUGAGCAAAUAUCAAACACAAAAUAAAGUAAGCCGGAAAUAUUGUUAGCCACAGUGCGUUUCAGUGGGUGCUCUGGAACAAAACCAAAAUUCAAGUUCUAAAGCGGCAUCAGUUAUAGAAAAACAAAUUUCUUCCAAUUUUGCAGCUCAGUAUUUCACUUGCCACACAGUAAUUCUAUGAAUGGCAGCAAAGGAGUCGUGACUACAUGCAGUGUGCAAUCCUACAUCCCUAUUUACAAUUGCACAGUCACUUUGCUUUUGAACUAAGGGCAUAUUGAGUGCAAAUGUGCAUGAACAACAGAGAUAGAACACAUAAGACAUCACUACGUUCAUUCAUACUUGUGCUAAACACGACUUCCAUUUAAAACUAUGACCAGCUAGCCCUUCCAGGCUGAGCUGAAAGCAUUGAUUAGGUAAGGUAGGUCCUGAUGAACAUUAAGGGCCAAUUUUAUGCACUUUGUGUAAGAAUAUUAAUUUAUGAGGUUUUGCAUUCCUGCCAAUAAUAGCUAGGCUUCUCAGCAUGUUUCCUCUCACCUCUUCCCAUCAACGUAAAAUUGGUAUGAUCUCGCACGAACAAUCUCCCGGGCUUAUCACAGGACUUCGUCUGUAAUAGUCUUAACACAACAGCGAACAAAUGUGCUUUUCAGAAACAUUGUGAUACUGUGGAGUAAUCU